rnacentral:lncRNA from 10 species
UUAUAAUGAGAUAAAGUUAUAUAGCUUUAUUUUUAAAAGUGGCAUAUGUGUUUACAUGUAUAUAGUUGUCUAGAAAAUUACUGGAAGUCUAAAGCCAAAUAUUAAAAGAGAUUAACUGGCCAAGUGCGGUGGCUCAUGCCUGUAAUCCCAGCAAUUUGGGAAGCCAAGGAGUGAGCCACCGUGCCCGGCCUCAGGGCUGAUUCUCAGCCAGCAGUGGCCACAACAGGACUUCCUUCCAUGACGUUUCUCACACUGCUGGAAGUGCAAUCAGCUCAGCCCUCUGCCCAGAAUCACUCCCGGCUCUGGGCUACACCUUGGUGACGGGCUCCUCUCUCCUCUGCCCCACAGGGUGUGCCGAGGACACCCCCAGUGUCUUCCAGUCUUAUCCCUCCCAUGGC